rnacentral:misc_RNA from 1 species
GAUGAAGAACGUAGCGAACUGCGAUAAGUAAUGUGAAUUGCAGAAUUCAGUGAAUCAUCGAGUCUUUGAACGCACAUUGCGCCCCCUGGCAUUCCGGAGGGCAUGCCUGUCCGAGCGUCAUUGCUGCCCUUCAAGCCCGGCUUGUGUGUUGGGUCGUCGUCCCCCCCGGGGGACGGGCCCGAAAGGCAGCGGCGGCACCGCGUCCGGUCCUCGAGCGUAUGGGGCUUUGUCACCCGCUCGAUUAGGGCCGGCCGGGCGCCAGCCGGCGUCUCCAACCUUCUAUUUUACCAGGUUGACCUCGGAUCAGGUAGGGAUACCCGCUGAACUUAAGCAUAUCAAUAAGCGGAGGA